UGCUAAUACCGGAUAACAACACUAGACGCAUGUCUAGAGUUUAAAAGAAUGGUUCUGCUAUCACUCUUGGAUGGACCUGCGGUGCAUUAGCUAGUUGGUAAGGCAACGGCUUACCAAGGCAAUGAUGCAUAGCCGAGUUGAGAGACUGAUCGGCCACAUUGAGACUGAGACACGGCCCAAACUCCUACGGGAGGCAGCAGCC
rnacentral:rRNA from 1 species